GACAGAGGAGGCAAGCGUUGAUCGGAAUCAUUGGGCUUAAAGCGCGCGUAGGCGGCCUUGUAAGUGUCUUGUGAAAUCCCACGGCUCACCCGUGGAACUGCAGGGCAAACUGCAAGACUUGAGGUCGGUAGAGGCGCCUGGAACUCUAGGUGGAGCGGUGAAAUGCGUAGAUAUCUAGGGGAACGACGGAGGCGAAAGCGGGGCGCUGGGCCGAUUCUGACGCUGAUGAGCGAAAGCGUGGGGAGCAAACAGG
rnacentral:rRNA from 1 species